CCUGGUGGCUCAGAGGUUAAAGCAUCUGCCUGCAAUGUGGGAGACCUGGGUUCGAUUCCUGGGUCAGGA
rnacentral:tRNA from 1 species